GAGUAGCUUACUUGUCAGCACGGUAUUUUUGAAUGGCUAACCAUUGCCAUUCACAUCACCACUGACUUCUGUUAGUGCAAUAAGAAUGAAAUAGGAAUAAAUAUCUCUCUUACUUUUUCAAAGGAGAGAUGCUCCAUUCCUCUAAUCAUCUUGGCAGCCUCCUCUGGACUUGCUCCAACAGGUCACAUAAAGUUACUGACCGAGAGGUAAAUGUUUCUUCCUUGGACCACCAGAUUCUUGCCAGACUCUGGUGUACCCAAGGAUCCCUGAAUCCCUAUUUUGUGAAAGGAAAGAAGUGCUCAUACACAUACCACCCCAAGUUUUGGGAAUGGCAUCUGUGACUGCUCUGUGGAUACCUGGAAUGUGGACUGUAUAAAGGUGGCACCCCCCAGAAGAAUGAUUCCAGAACCUCCACCACCAAGAA